rnacentral:rRNA from 1 species
AAUGAACGUUGGCGGCGUGGAUUAGGCAUGCAAGUCGAGCGAGAAUGGUUUGGUAGCUUGCUAUUGAACCAGGAAAGCGGCGAAAGGGAGAGUAACGCGUAGUUACGUGCCCCAGGGUUCGGAAUAGCCACGGGAAACUGUGGGUAAUGCCGAAUAACAUCUCCGGAUCACAGGUGUGAUUCCGCCCUGGGAGCGGACUGCGUCCUACUAGCUAGUUGGCGGGGUAAUGGCCCACCAAGGCAACAAUGGGUAGCGGGUGUGAGAGCAUGACCCGUCUCACUGGGACUGAGACACUGCCCAGCCACCUACGGGUGGCUGCAGUCGAGAAUCUUCGGCAAUGGCGAAAGCCUGACCGAGCAAUGCCGCGUGCGGGAUGAAGGCCCUCGGGUUGUAAACCGCGAAAGUAAGGAGGAAGGACCUGCGAAGAGCAGGUUUUGACCGAUCUACAGUAAGGACGGGCUAAGUCCGUGCCAGCCGCCGCCGUAAGAC